rnacentral:ncRNA from 1 species
GGUUCGGGAGCUGCCUGACGGGACAGGUGGCAGGUAUGGAACCGGUCUCCCCUCUGCCCUUGCGGUGCGUCUUCCGUGGCCCGACGGAAGCAUGCG